rnacentral:lncRNA from 1 species
ACAACACUUUUUCCAAAAAGCGCUGUAAAAUGUGCAUUCAAUAGAUGCAUUAUUAUGCACCUAUUACAGCAUUUUUUUAAAAAAGCGUUGUAAAAUGUGCAUUCAAUAGAUGCAUUAUUAUGCACCUAUUACAACGCUGUCUUUUAAUUUUUUUUUCCAAAAUCAUUUUCAUCUAGAAUCAGUUCACAAUUAGUUCACACAAUCAGUACACAACAACAGAACUAUAUAACUUUAUAACUUUACAUAUUUACACAGUGUCAGCCAGUUCACAACAUAUUCUUCACAUAUUGACAACAACACAUAACUAUAUACAUAUUCAUAUAACUACAUAUUCACAACUUUUCAAAUGUGCCCUAUUCAUAUACAUAUAACUAUCAGAACUACACAUAAUAGAACUACCAUAUAUCCAUAUAACUAUCCCUUGUAGCAUGCCAUUUCCUAGCAAAUCAAAUAAUUUUCAUUUCAAUCACAUACUGACAUCAGUCUUCCUUUAUUUCAAUUAGAUCUCUUUCAGAGUAUGUUGGACUGAAAUUGUCAAAGUACUGUGCGAUAUGAAAAUUGAACAUAAAUAAGUUAGAAUCAAAUAUAUAAUAGUUUAUAUAUGAAAAUCAAAUAAUGAAAAUAUUGUACCGUUUCUGGGAUUAUAGUUUGAUUCAUAUCAACAAUCUCCUUCAUGAAUCGCAAUAUAUAGUACCCAUAGUCGAUGUUGUUAGUUUGACGAGGGCACUAUAAAAUAAAACAUAUAAGUUAAUAAAUAUUUGUGAAUUGAUAGCAGUAUAAGUUCAACAUACAUUUUAGUGAAACAAAAAACUAAUAAAUACAAUACCUGAAAAACAGAAGAACAAUAAGGUUACGACGCAUAAAUACGAACAAAGAAGAACGACGUAUAAAUACGAACGCUUCGUAGGAGAGUAGGGUUCGCAGAAACAAAGAUGAUUCGCAAUGACAAGGAGAAUGAAGAGGAAAUAAGUGUAUGAAGUUUACGUAAUGAGGGUUAGUAACAAGGCAAUAUUGUUCGUAGGGUUCGCAAUAAAAAGGAGAAUGAAGAGGAGGAGGAGGAAACAAGCGUAUGAAGUUUAUGUAAUGAAGAGGAAACUGAAGCGGUUUAGGGUUUAGAGAUAGUAUUUGAAUGAGAGUUGGUAGGGAUAGUAACAAAGAUGGAGAUGGUUCGCAAUGGAGAUGGUUGGCAAUAUGGUUCGUAUGGACAAUAGGGUUCGCAAUGAGAAAGACAAUGAAGAGGAGGAGGACUCUGAAGUGUAGUGAAGUUUACGAAAUGAAGAGAAAACUGAAG